rnacentral:rRNA from 1 species
GAUGAACGCUGGCGGCGUGCCUAACACAUGCAAGUCGAGCGGAGUUGACAAGAGGAAGUUUUCGGAUGGAAUCUUGCCAGCUUAGCGGCGGACGGGUGAGUAACGCGUGAGCGACCAACCUUGCACAGGGGGAUAACGGACCGAAAGGUUCACUAAUACCGCAUGAGACCACGGUGUUGCAUGACACAGAGGUCAAAGGAGCAAUCCGGUGCAAGACGGGCUCGCGUCCGAUUAGGUAGUUGGUGGGGUAAUGGCCCACCAAGCCCAUGAUCGGUAGCCGACCUGAGAGGGUGAUCGGCCACAUUGGAACUGAGAUACGGUCCAAACUCCUACGGGAGGCAGCAGUGGGGAAUAUUGGGCAAUGGGGGAAACCCUGACCCAGCAACGCCGCGUGAAGGAAGAAGGUUUUCGGAUUGUAAACUUCCGUCCUUGGUGAAGAGAAGAAGACGGUAGCCAAGGAGGAAGCCCCGGCUAACUACGUGCCAGCAGCCGCGGUAAAAC